AGUUGAUGUGGGGAUAAGCCUUUAAUCCCAGCACUCCUAGGCAGAGGCGGGUGGAUCUGUGUGAGUACCGGGCCAGUCUGGUCUACAUGGCAAGUUCCAGACCAGCCAGAGCUAUGUAGUAAGAUCCUGUUUAAAGAUAAAUAAAAAUAUAGUAGCAAAAACAAAAAAGAAAACAAGUGUUUAAAUGCUUAAAUGCUACAAAGCCAUUAAAAUUGAAGAAGGCUAUUUAAUGGAUUGGGAAAAUUCCUGUGGUAUCUUAAGUAAAAAGAAACAGAUCACAAGGGAGCAUUGCCUGCAGGUGCAGAGGGAACAUGUGUGAAUAUUUGCACAGAAAAUGUGCUGGAGGGAUCCUGUCAACAUGUCGGCAUGUGACUCAGGACCUUUCCCUGACUAAAGUCCCCUUCCCUAGUCUGGGUGGUUUCUACCAUGUGGACCUUACACCGUUUCUUACAUAUGUUCUUGUGGCACUGAGGUCCCCCAACCUUCUUUUCUGGCCCUUGGACCACUCUCAGAACAGGCAAGGACUGUUCCCAGUAGACAAUGGACCCAAGCCAGUACUUUGAGCAUGUCCUAGUUUAGUUUCUUAGAACAUCACCAACUGAGAGGUAUGGGUAGAGGAAGAUCACAGUAUUCUGGAAUGCUCUCUUCAAAGCCAGAGUACUAAAGCUGAGCAUAUCUUCCCCGUGGUUCUGACCACUUGCUGCUCUAUAGGAGACUGGGCAUAUAUGCUCAAAUGGCUGCUAUUGAAUGUGGCUAGCAUGACCCUUGAGACUUUGAAAACUAAUAGUCGGUCAUCAGUGAGAACCUUGACUCACUGUAGGAAUUAAGCAAUAUGAUAAGAGCAGAAUGCCCGGGGGCAGCAAAGCCUCGGUCAUCAGGUCAGUAUCAGAGAUUAGAGUGCACAGCCUGGUAGUGAAAAUGAAGGGUUUAACAGCUUCAAACCACAAUUCCACUGGGCCCAAGAGGUUGGACUUCAGGGAAGAUUCUGGCUAUUUUUCAUGUGCAGAGACUGAGCCUGAGAGAGGGAGUUGGGACCCAUCUGUAAAGACGUGUGGCUCUUGGUCGUGCAUUGAGAACUACUGGAUCAUUUGAUUGGUGGAAGGACCACCAGCAGUACUAAACUGAAAAGUGGUAAGACCUGGGCUGGAAAUGUGGCUCAAUGGUAGAAUGUUUGCUUGGCAUAUAGAAGACCCUGAGUUCUAGAUCCAGCAAGGGGGUGGUGGUUAAGUGAUGCUGUCUAAGUUGAUGUAGAAGGCAGUAAGUAGGAGCAGGGAGUCCUGGGAGUCCCAGGGCUUCUGGAGUGAUGGGCUAAGAACAGAGGCCAUGGUUGAGUGGUAGGGAAUGGUUAAGUGUUAGACAUGGAAUCUGGGGAGGGAUGGGAGAGAGUAGGAAGAGUAGAGAAGCCUCAGAAAAUGUCUGAGGUGGCCAGCCUGAGGGACUGGAUGACUCCAUUCACCAAGACCACAAAUGCAUGAGGAAGACCUCUGUGGGAGGACAUAACAAGCUACUAUGGGGCUUGCUAACCUGAGAAGCCUGAAGACAUGGCAGUGGAAAAGUUCAGCAGGCAUUAGGAAACGGGUAAGGAACAACUAACUAAGCACUUAGCUGCCAGAUGAUGUGGCUGCUGAAAGAGGUCCCAAAAUCCAUUCAUAGCCGCAUAGUAUUUCACCAGAGGCAUUUAUUCAUAUCUUCUAUCCUGAGGCUGGUACUAAUAACUAAGCUCAAUGGGUCCAAACGGGUCAGUGAGGGUGGUAGGAGAACUGGAAAUCACAGUAGAAAUACUUUUACCAAGCAAAACACUGGAUAUUACCAUUCCCCAGAAAAGGGUUUGAACUCACAGUUCACAGUACGAAACUGGAAGGCAGGAGGAUAGAGAAAUGGCUCAGUCAGUAAAGCCUUUGCUGUGCAAUCAUGAGGACCUGAGUUCAGAUCCUCAGGACCCAAAUCAAGCCUGUGAGUGCCGAAGAAGGACAGUGGAGAAGCAGAGACAGGAAGAUCCCUCAAACUCAUGUGCUAUCCAGCCUAGCUGAAUUGAUGAUCUCCAGAUUCAGUCAUUGAGAGACCCAGUUUCAGAAAACAAAGUGACACUAAAUGGGGAAAAUAUGACACUGACAUCUGGCCUCCACAUGAACACAUACAUAAUACACAAUAGUGUCUAUGGAGACAGCAAGCCUUGGUGAAGAAGUGCCAAAGUGCCAGAGUGACAUCAUUUCAAAGUCAAGUUGCCAAGUAACUAGUUGCUAGAUACAGACUUGCAAAAGUGGUGUGUAGGGUCUCACCAAAUGAGAGUCAGGAAUGAGCCGGAGAGUGAGAAGGGGAAGAAAAGUGAGGAGACUUGGGGCGGAGGGAUUGUACCCCUGUGCAGGAAGGUGCAACCUCUAAUCCAACACCUAAUAAGGGCUCUGAUGCCAAGGCCGUCUCCUCACUCCACAGCCUCUCCCAAAUCCUCAAAGCAGGACCUGGUAAAAGGACGUCCUUAAAGGUACCUUAUUUUGUGGACAGGUCCCAUGAAAUAGGAGUGAGGGACAAGAAAGAGUUCAACAGGGAAGGCGAAACAGGUCACCCCAGUGUGUAGGUAACUGGACACUCUGAGGCAUCAUAUAAAUAUGCCUCGGAAUUGUUGGCCUAGGUUAGGAAUGAAAUUGAUGGCAGAGUAAAUGCUAAGGACGCAGGAGGUCAGCUCCAUCCCCUGUGAAGAAAACAUAAUUCCGUUCUAUAGGGAAAAGGACAGUGUUUACCCAAGGCUCUGACAGCAGACCUGUCAAAGAGUGCCCUCAAGGCGUUUGCAAGUGUCAAAAUGCUCCAGUGGGUCCUCACAGUUCUCCUAGAGAGAUGUUCACUUGGGUGAGGGAUGUGCUAUAGUCCCCAGUUCCUCCACACCCACACUGGAGAAAGUGAAACCUACUCCAAGAUGAAGCUUCUUUUUUUUUUUUUUUUUUUUUUUUUUUUUUUUGGUUCUUUUUUUCGGAGCUGGGGACCGAACCCAGGGCCUUGCGCUUCUUAGGUAAGCACUCUACCACUGAGCUAAAUCCCCAGCCCCAAAGAUGAAGCUUCUAAAGGGAGAAGACUAUGAUGGCCAAAAGAGAGUGCUGCUAACUGAGGUCAGGCUAACUCAGAAGCCACAAGACAAAAGAUGCCUGAGUGCUCCCUCAGCCCCCUCAGGAGAGACACAGCCCACUCAGGGCCUUUUGAGAGACUGUCCAAGAGGACUUGCCAAGGUGGAUGAGGAAGAGACCGAAAGAUAAAGAGGCAGAAUGGCUUCCCAGUCCUUGAAGAUGAUAAGAUGCCAUGCUUGUGCCUUUGUUGUUAAGAUUUUGGGGGAGGGGGAACCCCAGGGAUGGGAAUCUCUGAAGAGUCCUUGGAAACUUCCUGAUUCAGCUUCAGAGACCGGCCAGACUCAGAACCACUUUGUAAAAGAUGCCUGGCCAGACCGACCCACCCUCCACCCACCUCUCCCUCAAGAACUUGGGGAGCAGGAAGUACAAGGUGGAGAAAUUGAUAGGAAGCUAGCUACACCCACUUCCUGCUGGAUGAUACCAAACCCAAGGGGGCCAGAGCUAGAGAGGGAAAGAUAGGAAGAACGUCUUGGGCAGGCUGUUCUAAUUAUGGAAGAGGCUGAGUGUGGAACUUUCAGGGCCUAUUAGAGUGUUUCAUCGGGUUAGGGAUGCAGCUAGCAGCAUCUGGCUUCCAUCCUCAGAACCACAAAAUAAAGUACCCUCCCUGCAGAGCAAACUGAAAAAGCACGGUAUCUGUUGGAGUAUUUAUUGAGGAUCGGGUUUACUUAUCCAAUGUAGAGGCCACGAUUCCUCAGAGACAGUAGAAGUACAUGUGUGAGUUGGCUCAUACACACAACUGUGCAGGCUGACAAGUCCCCAGAUUUGCACUCUGCUUUGUGGGAGAGUCAGUGACAUAGUUCUAACCCAAGUCCAAAGGUUUGAACUACAGGAGAGUCAGUGGCCUGGUUCCAGCCCCAGUCCAAAGGUCUGAGACCUAGAAGAGCAAAUAGUGUAGUGCCAGUCCAAAUGACAGCAAACCGGAGACCUAAGGUGAGCUGAUGCUUCAGUGUGAGUGUGCAAUCAGGAGCAAAUAAGACAGAUAGACUCCUCCCAGCUCAAAGAUGGGAGAAGGAAUUCCUUUUAAGGGUAUGGGGUAUGUCAGCUUUGUUUUUGCUGUAAUAAAGCUCUCAGCUGAUUGGAUAAGGCCUGCGCACAUUGUGAAGGCUAAUUUGCUUAAUUUAAAUCUAUUAAUUUAAAUGUUAAUAUUAUCAAAAGAUGCCUUCAGAGAAACACUUAGGAUAAUGUUCAGCCAAACAUUUGGUUACUCUAUGGCUCAGGCAAGUUUACACAAAAUCAUUACAUCCAUUUUAAGGCCACUGAGUGGAUUUAACUUUAUUUUUUUUAUAACAGCUGUGUGUGGGGCGGGGGCAGAGACAGAGAAAGUGUGUGUGUGUGUGUGUGUGUGUGUGUGUGUGUGUGUGUGUGUGUGUGUGUGUGUGUGUGAUGGUAAAAGUAUGGCAUCCAGGACAAUUUGCAGAAGUAAAUUGGUUCUCUCCUUCCGCCAUGUGAGUUCUGAGAAUCAAAGGGAAGCAGGUGGGUUUGGCAGCAAGCCCCUUUACCUGCUGAGCCAUCUUACCGGCCCAACUGAAUGGGCUUUAAUGGGAACAGUGUCUUCAUGUGUCCUCCUUCUUUACAGGUCAGGCAUCGGCAGCAUCCGGAUCCUGUUACAGACUUACAAACUAGCACUCUUACUCUUACCCACCUUGCCCCUACCCUUCACUCUGUGGGCAGCCUUCUGCCUUCCAUUUUCAGGGCAGUGUUUUUAUAAGCCAGGCUAACAUAGAACUCACAGCUCUCCUUCCUCAGCCUGCCAGUGCUGGGAUUUCAAGUGUGCACCACCACAUCCAGCUUCGUCUUCUAUUUUGACACUUAGCGCUUUCCUAGUUCUUUGUCUGAGGCUCUGCCCUCUAAUCUGCAGGCAGCCCUAGAGCAAUGUCCCCAUAGUCCUUAAUGAUUCUGGAUGGCUGUGGUGUCAGCUCCAGCAACACUAACUCUCUUCCACUGACUGUGAGUGGUCAUACCCUCUCCUAAAACAGCCCGUGAUUACGUUAAUGUUCAAGCAACAAUCGCUCAGAGAGAUCCCAGUCUGCAUUCUAGUGGCUUAGCUGGCAUGUGACAACCCAAGGGAACUAACUAGGUCAUGUUUUUCGUUUUCCUACACAGCUUAAACCAAGAUUCCAAAAGGCUUUCUUUGUACCCAGUAGCUCCAGCAGUUGCAAAUCCUCUCCAGGAGUUCCUUCAAGCCAGAAUCUUUUUGGCCUCAUCCGUUUCAGGCUGGGGAGAGGAAAGAAAUAUUUAUGAGACUUGGUCUCCGCCUUGGGGAGAAAUAAACCCAUAAUCACUAGUCUGUGUUCUGAGACUUGAUGAUCGAGAGGAACAAAGGGCAUGCGUGUGCGCAUGUGCGCAGCUCCACCCCUGCCCCCAACAUCCCCCCCCCCCAAGGGGGGCACAAAUACAGCACAGCCCUCGAUCUGAGAUCUGCCUGAGUGACUGAGGGAGGUCUCUCUGCGACUGUUGGAGGCGGGAAAAACCAGGCAGGGACAUGGUUUCUGCAUCUAGACGCAGCCUGAUUCCCACCAGGAGCUCAGGACUAGACCCUGCGUCCCAGCAUCUACUCGACUCCAUCUUAAGAGUUUCGGCGUGUUGCUGGCUCCAGAACCCAACUUUUUGAUGUACUUAGAAUUUUUUGGCUUUGUGCUUGCAAAGGAGUUCAGCCACUUUCUCUUUCUGAUCUUGUUAGUGUGCUUGUCUCGUUUGCAUUUGUGGGUUCUAAUAGCGCCAUCAAAAUGAAUUGGGCAGGAGAGGAACCCUGGGAUAUUCUGCCGCGCCGCAGCCGCAGCCGCAGCCGCAGCUGCACAGGAAAAGAAGUGGUGGGUAGCAAAGUCGAGCGAGACCUUGGCUGGAAACAAAGCAGGACAGGAUGGAGGGAGACUAAAACAAGAUCUCACUAUAUAGGCCAGGCUAACUUCAAACUCCUGUUCCUCCUGCCUGCCUUUGCGUCCGAGUGCUGGAAUUACAGGCAUGUACCGCCAUGCCUGGCUUGUUACUCCAUUUCUUUCUUUUAAUUAAAAAAAAAAAGCGCGUGUAUCUCUUCCCCUGCGUGAUGAGAGACUGGGUGGGGGAGGGCAUGUGGAGAUCAAAGAACACAGCUUUGUGCAGUUGGUUCUCUCAUGUCGGUUUCAGGAAUCGAUUCAGGUCGUCUUUGCACUAUGAGCGCUUUAUCCACUGAGCUAUCUGGCCGGCCCUUGAUAUUCUGUUUCUUAUUGCUGUUAUUUUACACCCAGAAGAUUGUCCCUUUUAUCUAAUUUUCCAAAUUCGCCAGCAGAUUGUUCACAGCGAUCACGUGCUUUCCCAGUGUCUUCUAAGUACCGCUUUCCUCCUCGCGUUGCUGCCUCCCAUCCAUCUUGUGGAGCUAGGGCUGCAGGGAUGACUUACUGGCCAUGCUUUGGAAUGCUAGUCUAAAUAAGCGUAUUGUCCGUUUACUGAUAAGAUGGGAAGGGUUUACCAGAUACAGGGAGGAAGCCACGGUUCUCACGGCUUGUAAAGGGCAUUUAAUUUAGUUCUUUCUCCGACAGGAAACAAGUCUGCAGAAAAUACUGCCUGGUUUUGUCAUCGCCUGGCUUAAAAUGUCCCCCCAGCACUGAAUCCAAAUUACUUGGCCAGACUCUCAGGAUCCUAAGGAAUCGGCCAUCCAUAAAUCAGCACCCGGUGUGAAACUUAGAGCUAGCAAGAAUACCAGAGGCAAGGACACUUCACGGGAAGGAUGCCACCAGUGAGCUUAGAAGUGAGAAUAAGGCAAGCGAGGUGAACUGCAUGCUAAUCUGUAAAGCACAGCUGCAGACAAAGCAAGCAGGAGGGCUUUCAAAGGUGUUCUCAAUCUGUGGGUCGAGACCCCUUAGUCAGAUCUUAUAAGAGUCGUCUAAGAGCUUCGGAAAACAGAUAUUUACAUUACAAUUCUUAACGGUAGCAACAUUACAGUUACGAAGUAGCAACAAAAAUAAUGUUUUGGUUCUUGGUCACCACAACAUGAGGAAUGUAUUGAAGGGUCUCAGCAUUUGGAAGGCUGAGAACCACUAGUAGAGAAAGGACAGUUAGACCAGUUCCAGGAGCCAGACAAGAGGGGAGGGGAAGAGAGGAUAGUGACUUUUAGGCAACAGAAACUGCUAAGUGGGGUGCAAACAGAGUAGCACAAAGGCUCCUCGGGCUAGAAGCACAGCAGGAUCCCGAAUAGGAGGGGCCAUCCUAGAGGCCAUUUUCUUAUAGCUGAGAAGUGGGAAAAGAGGGGAUGUGCCUGCUGGUCCCUCCUGCCUAACAGGAGUUAAAUUCAUCGGGAGUAAACUGGAAAUUAGAAAGAUUUAACAAAACUAACUGAUGGUCUUUUGUAGAAGGAUACCGUUGUGGGGGCUGAGGAUGUAGCUCUAGUGUGAGGUUUGGUCUGCUGCUAUGUAUUGUAAUGCUGAACACUGGCCCCCACCAAGCUCAGUUGCCUCAAGGAUCAGAGAAUCUUCCUGCUGACUCAGGUGACACUGUGUGACCUGCCCCCCAAGUUAUCCCUGAUUGGUACCCUGGCUGUAUCAGAGCAGAGUAAGCAGAAGAUGGAGAACUCGGCUCCUCCAGCACCACGCCUGCCUAGAUGCUGCCUGGAUGCUGCCUGGAUGCUGCCCUGCUCCCGCCUUGAUGAUAAUGGACUGACCCUCUGAACCUGGCAGGUGUGAAACCCAGUCUGUGAACAACCCUUGAGGUCCUCAUCUUGGCUUUGCUGGCAUCCAGCUCUUGCAGCUGCUCAUCCAGUUCCAUGAACAUCUCACGCUCCAGAUCCUCCCGACCUAACUAAGCGCUCUGCCCCCUCUCCAGAUGAGUCAUCUUCAAAGACUGUGAUCCAUAUUGGCUGUUCCUGAAAAACUCUUUGGCUGAGUGCUUUCCACAUAGCUCAGGUUGGUCUCAAAGUCAUGGCUAUCCUCCUGCCUCAGAUCCUCCAGUGACUGGAUUACAGGCAUGUGCCACAUGGCACAACUUGGCCUGUUGUUUUGUUUUGUUUUGUUUUUGGUACUGGGGAUUGAACCCAGACCUUUUUUGCACAUGCUAGCCAAGCAAUCUAUUCUUUUCUUUUUUAUGGAUGUGUGUGGUUACCUACGUAAGGAUGUGUGUGCAGGAGCGACAGAGGUCAGAAGAGAGCACCACAUCCCCUGGAACUGGAGUUACAGGCAGAUGCAAGCUGCCAUCUUGGUGCUGGAAAUAAAUAUGCAACUUCUAUAAGAGCAAAGAGAAAAGGAAACAGAAGUGGGGGCUGAUACAGAACUCCAACUCCUAUUAAUGGAUGCAAAGUACCCAGGAUGUCAUAAAAUGAGCCCAGUCUUCGGCCAUAAACAAAAGGCAGUCUUGUGUGUUGGCUGCUGCAUUGCCCUGUCAGCCUACAGAAGGAAAAGGAAGGCUGGCCGUUCCGCAGGACACAGCACUAAAAGCACCCUGGUUCAAGAUGAGUGGGAAGCCAUCCCAGUAAACACAUCAUGAAUUUAAAACAAAACAGCAUUACUUCAAAUGAGAUAAUUUUUAAAUAUAUAUUUUGAUGAAUUUGA